rnacentral:rRNA from 1 species
UACUUUCAGCGGGGAGGAAGGUGUUGUGGUUAAUAACCGCAGCAAUUGACGUUACCCGCAGAAGAAGCACCGGCUAACUCCGUGCCAGCAGCCGCGGUAAUACGGAGGGUGCAAGCGUUAAUCGGAAUUACUGGGCGUAAAGCGCACGCAGGCGGUCUGUCAAGUCGGAUGUGAAAUCCCCGGGCUCAACCUGGGAACUGCAUUCGAAACUGGCAGGCUAGAGUCUUGUAGAGGGGGGUAGAAUUCCAGGUGUAGCGGUGAAAUGCGUAUAGAUCUGGAGGAAUACCGGUGGCGAAGGCGGCCCCCUGG